AAUAGUAAUGAAUAUCGGAUCUUUAUGAUGAUGUUUGGUUUUUGAUUUGCAGAUGUUGGUUGUGAAUCUCUUUGCUUUAGUGGCGAUAAAUCAACAUUCAAUGAUGUUGUGUAAAGAUGAGGUGAUGAGUUUGAUAUUUUGUUUCUUAGAAUUUGUGUUUUGAGCAUUUUUAGUUUUCCAUGGGAAAAAGAAUUUGGGGCAAAUAAUAUGUGUACCUGAAACCAGAUCUACUUUCUGUUUAUUCUUACACUGGAAAUUAAAAUUCUUGUUUUUUCUAAUUUUUGGGUUCAUCAUUUACUGCCUUCAGCAGUAGCAUGACUUACUCUAUUUUUUUUCCCAAUUUUAAUUUUUUUGUUUGUUUUCUGCAUUUGCUGCCUUCAACAGUAGCACGACUUAUUCUAUUUUUCUUUUCCCAAUUCAUAAUUUUUUUUUGUUUCCUCAUUAAUGCAUGAUGCAGUUUCUUUUCAACCAGAUUAUAGUAAGAAAUUUACGAAUAUCAAUCGAUAUUAUUUCCAAGAUUUAGUUUUUGCCUUCUUCAGAAAAUAAAUAUGGAUACCAUAAAUUAUUUCCAAUAAAUCGUCUUCUAUUUAUGGAAUUUCCGGGCUUGGUCGAAUUCUAUAUAAAGCACUCGCACAAAGAUGAUGGUGAUAUAUCCUCGCAGCGAAGGAUGAAGCAAUGAACUUUUAUCUUUCAUAGUUCACAGUUUUUCCUUAAACAUCUUUUAUUACGCAACCGUUUUUUUUUAAUUCCUUUAUUCCUUUUAUUGUUUAGUAUUUUUGUUCCUUUUAAUUUAUAUUGAGUUUUAUUUUGCAGUUGAUCUUAAUCGUUCCUCAUAGUCAAUAUUGAAACAAUAAAAUUAAAUCUGGACGUUUACUUUCGUACGAGUGUAUAUGUGAGGUAAUGAGCAUCUUUUUCUAUGGUUAUCUUUGUUUCGUAUCUUUAUUGCUACCGUUCCUAUGAUUUUUUCCCUUUUAUGAUUUUGCGCCUAUGAUUUUGUCCAUGCUGCUUCACUUUUGUGAUGUGUGAUCGAAGCAAUUCAAGGAUGAAUGAGAUACAAAAUGAUGAAUGAGUUUCAAUAUUAUUUUUCAUUCCAUAAAAAAAAAGAUUAUCAUUCUUAAAUGUGUAGAAAAUGCUCAAUAUAUCUCAAUUGUGUACAAAAGAAAACACAAAAAAUAAAAUAAAUUAUAUUCCUGGACAUGAAAAUAGAUAUUUAACAUUUUUUGUACAAUAACUUUUUUGGAUCGUUAAAUAAGGUAUUAAUUAGACAAAAUAUUGCAACAAAUAACAUAGUUAUCGGAAAAUAUUCUGCUAUCCAAAAAUAUACUAAAAAUUAUAAGAAAUUUAUUAUAUUAUUUCCAAAACUAAGGUUAAUGAAUUUUGCAGGCUUUGCUCUAUAUAAAGCACUCAAGAAUAGGACAAGACAUUAUUUGCACGUCGCUUUUUCUUCUACGGUAUUGUUCGAGUUUUUUUUUUUUAUUAUUAUUUGUUGAUCAAUGAUUUGCGUUUGUUUUUUGUUUUCCAGGUACGUUCAAAAGUGUUUCAUGGGAAACUCGAAAGUGUUUAUGGAAAUCCUGAUCAAUUUCCGCAGGAGGUAAAGGAUUUGGUAUAUCUCUUUGGAAUUUUUGAAUCUUCUUAUAUGCAAGUUGAUUAAAUAUUGUGAUACCCAAUAUAAGUUGAUUCUGAAAUUUGGCACCAUGGGGUGAUAACGCGAGCUCUUUUCUCUUUGCAAGUUUGACGUUGCGCCUUAAAAUUGGACAAAAUAUUGCACAUUUCUUUUUUGUUAUUCGGUAUUGAUCGUAGUUUUUGUUUUUGUUUUGCAAGUACGCUCAAAAGCUUUUCAUCUACGGUGUUGGUCGUGUUUUUUCUUUUUCUUAUUGUUGGUUGAUUACUAAUAUGCAUUUGUUUUGCAAGUAUGCUCAAGCUUUUCAUGGGAAGCUCGAAAGUACUUAUGGGAAUCCUGAUAAAUUUCCGCAAGGAUUUGGUAUAUCUCUUUUGAAUCUUUGAAUCUACUUAAUUAUAUGCAAGUUCGAUGUUGCACCCUAAAAUCGCAAAUACAUUCUUGUAAUAAAUGCUAAUUGUACUUCAUAAAUGGAGUAAUCGCUUAGGCUAGCUUAGAUUAAGCUGUCACAUAUACCAUCACACUAUUUUUUUUAGGUUUUAUGAUCACAUGAGAAACGUAAUCAAUUUGAAUAUUUUUAAAUCAACAAUAUAUGUCAAGAAGAUUGUCAUAUGAGACCAUUGCAGAUUUGCGGUAACUUGAAUGAAUGUUGUUAACUAAUAAUUUCUUUGUUAUUUGUAGGAUUAUCUGUGUUUUCUUGGUUUAGGAUCAGGAGAUUGUCAAGAAGGUUUUUAAGAUCAAGAAACAGAAGGAGAAUGUUGAAAAUAGAUAGAUUUGUAAAAACUUUUUUGGGUUAUAUUAGAUGAAGGAAAUUUCGACUUUCAAGUAUAUAACAAAUGCGUGUUUUCAUGUUUUUGGUUUGGUUCGACUAAAUCGUUUCUUUUGCGUAAAGGUUAAUUUAGGUUCUUUGUGUUUAUGAAGACCCUGAAUUUGUAUGGGGUGGCAUCCAAGGGUGCAAUUCAAGGAGAUGCAAAAUGAUGAAUGAGUUUCAAUAUUAUUUUUCAUUCCAUUAAAAAAAGAUUCUCAUUCUUAAAUGUGUAUAAAAUGCUCAAUAUAUCUCGAUUUUGUACAAAAGCAAACACAAAAAAUAAAAUAAAAAAUAUUAAUUAUAUUCCUGGACAUGAAAAUAGAUAUUUAACAUUUUUUGUACAAUAUAUUUUUUGGAUUGUUAAAUAAGGUAUUAAUUAGACAAAAUAUUGGAACAAAUAACAUAGUUAUCGGAAAAUAUUCUGCUAUCCAAAAAUAUACUAAAAACUAUAAGAAAUUUAUUAUAUUAUUUCCAAAACUCGGUUUUGCUCUAUAUAAAACACUCAAGAAUAGGACAAGACAUUAUUUGCACGUCGCUUUUUCUUCUACGGUAUUGUUCAAGUUUUUUCUUUUUAUUAUUAUUUGUUGAUCAAUGAUUUGCGUUUGUUUUUUGUUUUCCAGGUAUGUUAAAAAGUGUUUAUGGGAAUCCUGAUCAAUUUCCGCAAGAGGUAUGCUCAAGCUUUUCAUGGGAAGCUCGAAAGUACUUAUGGGAAUCUUGAUAAAUUUCCGCAAGGAUUUGGUAUAUCUCUUUUGAAUCUUUAAAUCUACUUAAUUAUAUGCAAGUUCGAUGUUGCACCCUAAAAUCGCAAAUACAUUCUUGCAAGAAAUGCUAAUUGUACUUCAUAAAUGGAGUAAUCGCUUAGGCUAGCCUAGAUUAAGCUGUCACAUAUACCAUCACACUUUUUUUUUUAGGUUUUAUGAUCAUAUGAAAAACGUAAUCAAUUUGAAUAUUUUUAAAUCAAUAAUAUAUGUCAAGAAGAUUGUCAUAUGAGGCCACUGCAUAUUUGCGGUAACUUGAAUGAUUGUUGUUAACUAAAAAUUUCUUUGUUAUUUGUAAGAUUAUCUGUGUUUCUUGGUUUAGGAGCAGGAGAUUGUCAAGAAGGUUUUUAAGAUCAAGAAACAUAAGGAGAAUGUUGGAAACAGAUAGAUUUGUAAAAACUUUUUUGGGUUAUAUUAGAUGAAGGAAAUUUUGACUUUCAAGUAGAUUACAAAUGCGUGUUUUCAUGUUGUUGGUUUGGUUCGACUAAAUCGUUUCUUUUGCGUAAAGGUUAAUUUAGGUUCUUUGUGUUUAUGAAGACCCUGAAUUUGUAUGGGAUGGCAUCCAAGGUUUCGACAAGGUUGUCGACUGCAUUAUAAGUUCUUGGCUUAUCUGCAUUCGUAUCAAAUACCAAUAGUUGUAAAGGUUGCACUCGAAUUCCAAUCGAUUUGAAGACGAAAUAUUAUAGGUAAUAUGGCAUAUAUAACAAUGGUGCAGACUUAAUAUUAUAUUGUAUGAUACUCUUGAGGACUUAAUUGGGGAGAAUAAGGUAACAUCCAAGCGAAUUAUCCCUAAAGAAGAGCUAUAAUGUCCCCAGACAUACCUGAUACUUCUCUUCCUCGAAGCCUCGAAAACAGAACUUACUUCUCCUGCUUACUCCAACAAAUCUUAGUCCUCCUCCGCCUGCCCAACGGGACAUCCUUAUUAACCGUCAGUCGUGCAAGGAAAGUGACAAACGAGCUGAUGGAUAUGCAGCUUAUUAGAUUUUUUACACUUCAGCAUCCACUGGAGUUUUGGGUUUGUAAAAAACUGAUUCCAGGUACUUUAAUAAUAAUAAAAAGUCUCUCCAACGGAAUGUUUCUUUGACAUGCAAA